UGGUGCUCGACUUAUUUGCAUCCUUAUUUUGCCUAAGUAAAUCUUCAGCUUCUGUUUUAUCUUCUUAGAGUGGGUUGACUCUUGGUCGCUUCCAUGCUAAGGGCUGACCAAUGACCACUAAUGCGCUAAUGGUCUUGCAAGUAUACAUGUACGAAUUAGGUAUCAAGCCAGAUUAUUUGAAUCUCACCUAUAUUCAGCAGAAAAUCAAUUAAAUGGUUCUCCGGGGUGCAUGGAACCUAUAUUCAAGUUGAUUUGUUGAACCCACCAACGGAGUUUUAGAAGAUGAAGAGCAAUCUAAAGCGUCUUUUUCGAUCUCCUUACUCCUUCAUCGUUUUAGUUUCCUCUUUAAUUGUCCUUUUUUCCGUGUUUGAUUUAAGAAGAGGGGUGAAUGGUUUAUGUAUGUUUGUAUGGGUAAUAGUUUAAACAAAUAGACUGUUGGACACACAUAUCAUACACUAUAACCUUGGACUUUUAUAUUGUAGCCAUUAGUCAAUCAUAUGUCUUACACUAUUGUUUUUAUACUUGGUGUUCUAAAGAAAAGUUUUCUCACGAUAUCUUUAUGUUCAUUGUGGAGCCUUCGAAUGGGAGCUACGAUCAUUUCCAUUGCUAUUUCCAAUGUUUGGGUGAGCGGAUGGGUUUCUGGUCAUACUUGUAUAUCUAUGAAUUGUUAAUCAUUGUACUCAAAUUGAUAUAUGAUUUGGUACAGAGAAAUGAUCUAAAUUGAGCUUUCUUUUGACUUUGGUGACUCCAUUUACGAGUCUAAUCACCUAAUUGCCACUAUGAAACCUUUAUCUAGGACUUGGUCUAUCACAUUAUAACUCAUGAUUAUAUACAUGCUUUUGCGAAGCUAUAUCUUGAGUUAUGGUUACCUCAUGUUCUACAAGAUUGCAAGUGGAGUGAGGAGUAUAGUUCACAGUUAGUCCCUGGGGAUGUCAUUAGUUUCAAUGCUGGAGAUACCAUUCCAGCUGAUGCUCGUGAGCUCGUCUACUUAGAGGGGAUGAUCCUUUGACAAUUGAUGAGGUGAGUUAAAAUGUAUUAUGGUCAAUUCAAUAACCUCCUACAAAUACUAUUGCUGCUGAAAAUCUGAAUGUUAUGCUUCGCAGUAUGUGUUAACAGAAGAUUGAUCUCAAGUAACUAAGAGAGUAGUUAAUUAUCUAACAUGGUAAUCAAUUUAAUUGACAAUGCAAGCCAGAUUAAUUAUUUGAACCUUUACGACAUAAUAAAAAGAAUUUAGACUUGAGAUAAACUUUAGUUUUAUUAAUUCUGAUUUUGAGGUAGUAUGUUGGGAUCUUGGGGUGAAUAUUAGGUUGUAGGCUGCAAGCUGUAUUUUUAUUGCUCAAGUUGCUACGAUACGUCACCGCUUCCCACCUCUUCUUAUUGAUUCCUCUAUGCACUAGAAGUUUUGGGAUGAGAAGGUUGGAUGGCUGAAAGUGUAGAGUCAAAGGAUGUUACAUCAUGAAAUGAAUCGCUUGACGCCCUUUCAGAGUUCAUCAUUUAGGACUAUCAAGCUGGAAGUAAGAGGAAUAGUAGGCAAGUGUUGUGAGCCACGUAUAUUCAUCUCUCCUUACUGUAAGUAAUAAAGAGAAAGUCCUUACAUGUGUUAUAUGUCAGUAUGCCGUGAUUGACCUGUACAAGGUAUGUAGCUUCUCUAGGUGCAAACUACUAUAAUAAAGAUAUUUCUUUCUUUGCAUCAUUCAUGGAACAGACAUGCAUGGUGCACCUUUUUUGGUAAUAGUAAUUUUGGCUCGAUCUAUUUGUUCUGCUAUAGAAGUUCAUAAAGGAAAUAAUAAGUCUUUUCUUGAAACUUUCACAAGCACUGCACAAACUAACAUCUUCAUUAACUCAUUCCCCCUCCCUCCCUCCAUGUAUUAUCCAUUUAAUAUAGCGAUACACGAAUAAAGAAUUAAGUUAUGGAUUCUAUGUUGUUAUUGCAUUAUGUUAACGCUUUCCUUAUAUUGAAUAAGGUUGGGUCAUGUUUGUUUGUUUCCUUAGUUCAUGCAUGCUCUUAGUGUGUUGCUGGUUAGUAUGGUACUAAUGUUAUUACUUGAAUAAGUAAUUGAUCUACAUGGAUGGAUUGUUAUUGAAUGAGGUCAAGUCAUGUUUGUUUGUUUGCUUGUUUUUUUGUUUGUUUACUUUCAUGGUGGUUGUGGAUCCAAUGUUUGGGUCGUUGCAUUUGGCAAUUGAUUAGUUUGUAUUAAUGGAGUUGAGGUUGUUUUCGUGUUUCCUACAUGAAGUAUUAAUUAUUCCUCAAGGAUGCACUGUUAGUCUGUGAAAGUUACUCGACGAUGCACUUUUGGUAUGUGAUCAAUGUGCCUGUAAAUUGUCAAUGCAUGACACCUACAUUAUCAGCAUAUGUGUGUUCUGUGUUGUCCAUUUAAGUCCAAUCAUAAUAAUUACGUACGCAUACAAGUUUUACCAUUAGCGAUCUUUCUCCAUUUCCCGUACAGUUUUAAGCACGUCUCUAGCUGUUUGUUAUAAAGUUUGAAGCCAUUUAGCAUGUGCCUAAUCUUUUGAGCACCACUCUUGGUGUUUACAGCAAAUUCUUUCAUGUAUACAAUAAGCAGUAAACUAUUUAGGUUAGGAUUUUAGCUUCUGAACAUAUUUUUUCAUGUAUGCAGUCAACUCUUUAUAUUACAAGUUUAGCUUCUGUUGAGCUAUUGAGCUAUUGUGUGAUCGUGAUGAAAGGCCAACAUAUUCUCUUGCGUUUUCUUGAAUUUUCAGUUAAUAUUUGAGAUUUGAGGGUCGAGGGAAAUAAAUCGCGUGGAUUUGGAAAAUGUAGUUUGGACAUAAAUGAUUGAUGGUUGGAAGUUGAAGCAAUAGAAGGUACAAGUUCUCCAAGUAUUAGUAAUGCGCCUACAGAUCGAAUGAAGGCUUGCCAAUGAUGCACAUGAAGAUCCUUUUUUUGUCUCUUUUUUGUGUUUAUAUUUGGGCCUUGCUUGGAUGAUAUGAAUGUAGGUUCACCUUGAAACAAUUUGUGCUAUCUAAGUCUAUCAAAGUAAGCAGCCUAUGUACAAGAAAUAAUGUAAUUCUAGCCCACAACCUUCAAAUUGAUGUUUUUUAUAUCUUGUACUCCCGGCUCUCCAACUACGAGUUUGCUGCAUGAUUUGUAUGUUCAAA